rnacentral:rRNA from 1 species
UACAGAGACUGCAAGCGUUAUUCGGAUUCACUGGGCGUAAAGGGUGCGCAGGCGGCCAAGUGUGUUAGGCGUGAAAGCCUGAGGCUUAACCUCAGAAUUGCACCUAAAACUACAUGGCUAGAGCAUUGGAGAGGGUAGCGGAAUUCACGGUGUAGCAGUGAAAUGCGUAGAUAUCGUGAGGAACACCAGAGGCGAAGGCGGCUACCUGGACAAUUGCUGACGCUCAGGCACGAAAGCGUGGGGAGCGAACAGG